CUGCCGCUGGACCCGGGUCCUUGCGUCGGUGACGUGUGUGCUGCGCAGAUGCUCGCCUGUGAUCCCGAAGCGGUUCCAGCCGUGGGGCAGAGACCUCGUGCUCGCUGGAGCCCGGGCUGGGGCUUCACCCGGCGGAGCGUGCAGGGCGAGUUGAGGGCAGGCAGUGUGCAGCGUCAUGCGUGGCGGGCGAGUUGAGGGCAGUGUGCAGCUUCCUUGGCUUCCUGUCUGAGCUCUGCAAGUUGAUGUGAGCGCUUUCACAAGGGUCCCCGGCUUGCUCACCACGUGGAGAGUUUGAUUUUGCUCCAUCGUCCUUGAACCAAUCGCUUUCCCGCCGGAGCGGCCUGAAGACAGCAGGAACACGAGCUGAGGCUUAGGGCAAGGCUGUUUUGACUGAAGAAGGCAGAAGCCCAGAAGAUGAGGCCGGCCGGCUCCUGGCCUGGGCCAAGCUUCGAGCGGACGUGGCCCAGCAGAACUGCAGAACCGGGCCGAGGGGAGGCGGGUCCGUGUGCUUUGGGGUUCGCGGCACAGCACAGCUGCAGGCGGGCCCAUGACUCUCCCGUGGCGGCUGCCAGGCUAGCCAGCUCCUGCCCGGUGCGCCGAGGGUAGUCGGAGCCGGGACGCUCUCUGGGUGUUUGUGGAGUCUGUGGCAGAGGCCAUUCAGAGAAAUCCACCAGCCGCUCUGGGCGUGCAGAGCUCACAGGUGCCGUGGUGACAGACAGACAGACAAACAGAAUUCUGCUGCCCGCCUGGAGUUGCUCCAUGGGCCCUGCUGCUACGCGGCGGCCGGGACGUCAGCUAUGUCGCUGCUGGGUGGACCAUCUCCUAGUUCUUUGUCUCUUCUUGUAAGACAGAGAA